UACGAAGGGGGCUAGCGUUGCUCGGAAUCACUGGGCGUAAAGCGCACGUAGGCGGAUUGUUAAGUCAGGGGUGAAAUCCUGGAGCUCAACUCCAGAACUGCCUUUGAUACUGGCGAUCUUGAGUUCGGGAGAGGUGAGUGGAACUGCGAGUGUAGAGGUGAAAUUCGUAGAUAUUGGGAAGAACACCAGUGGCGAAGGCGGCUCACUGGCCCGUAACUGACGCUGAGGUGCGAAAGCGUGGGGAGCAAACAGG
rnacentral:rRNA from 1 species